rnacentral:rRNA from 1 species
AUUGAACGCUGGCGGCAUGCCUUACACAUGCAAGUCGAACGGCAGCACGGGAGCAAUCCUGGUGGCGAGUGGCGAACGGGUGAGUAAUAUAUCGGAACGUGCCCAGUCGUGGGGGAUGACGUAGCGAAAGCUACGCUAAUACCGCAUACGAUCUAUGGAUGAAAGCGGGGGAUCGCAAGACCUCGCGCGAUUGGAGCGGCCGAUAUCAGAUUAGGUAGUUGGUGGGGUAAAAGCCUACCAAGCCUUCGAUCUGUAGCUGGUCUGAGAGGACGACCAGCCACACUGGAACUGAGACACGGUCCAGACUCCUACGGGAGGCAGCAGUGGGGAAUUUUGGACAAUGGGCGCAAGCCUGAUCCAGCAAUGCCGCGUGCAGGAUGAAGGCCUUCGGUUGUAAACUGCUUUGUUACGGACGAAACGGCUCUUUCUAAUAAAGGGAGCUAAUGACGGUACCGUAAGAAUAAG